rnacentral:lncRNA from 1 species
CUGGAACCUGCCUUUCGGACUCCCCAUCAGAAUGGGCAGAUUGCUGACUCUUGCUGGUUCUGCCCACCAGCUGACAUGCUACUUCGCCUGGCACCAGCCAGGCCCGGGGCACUUCCAGCCUGGCAUGACCCCUUCCUCUGUACUCACCCGACUUAUGCCAUUGCUGAGAGAUGUGGGAAAUGAGAUGGCACCAUUAAAUGAAAGGAUGUAACUCUCUGCCAAACUCUCCUUGAACUGAAAAACAAGAGUCAUGUGAAAACUCUCCCGGCUGUUGGCAGCUGGGAUUUCGGAGCCGCUCCAGGAACUUUUCAAGAUGAUUUUCUACACUGAUUUCACGACAAGGCUGUUGGGAUGACCAAGGCCUCACCCUGCCUUCUUUGGGCUGUUGGCUGCCACCGUUUCCACUACUGAGAACCCCCAGACUUCUAUCGCCUUAGGCACCAAAUUCCUGCGCCAGUAGGAGUUUGGAAGAACCCUGGCUCUCAGAAGCGCUCCUCAGGACAAGCGUCUCUUCCCCGUCCUGGUGCAGGUGAACUGUAUUCCAUUUGAUCUUGACUGGAAAGCAGACAACCAGUUUCUCAUGCAAGAAAAUUGAGGCCAUAUAGAAAGCCUAGCUCCUACAACCUCAGUUGGAGAGGAGGGAUCUGGAGACUCCAUUCCAGGGAGGAUGCGAGGAACGAAGGAUGGGAGAGACUAACUUAACUCAGAGUAGUGCUGGAAGUCAACGUUGAGUUGAUGUCCGCAGAUUUUCUUCUACGCAUGUGUGGAAUAUCCAUGGACGGAAAGCCGAGGAGAUCAACAAACCCAAGCUGAUGGUCACCGCUGCGGUAGCUGCUGGCAUCUCCAACAUCCAGUCUGGCUAUGAGAUCCCCCAGCUGUCCCAGUGAGUGAUAACAUGUCCCAUAACUCCUCUGUGUAUCAGUUGUGCAAGAGACACUCAUUCUUAGUCAGCCCGCUGUUCAGGAACCUUGUUUAGGCGGUUUGGGAAGUCUCAUCUUUUGCCUGCAUAGGAGUGGAAAGUAAUCAGAAAUGUCUUUGGGAGUUCCCGUUGUGGUACAGCAGGUUAAGAACCUGACCAGUAUCCAUGAGGAUGUGGGUUCGAUCCCUGGGUUAAAGGAUCUGGCCUUGCCACAAGCUGGGGGUGUAGGUCACAGAUGUGGCUUUGGUCCUGCAUUGCUGUGGCUGUGGCAUUGGCUGGCAGCUGCUGCUCUGAUUUGACCCCUAGCCUGGCAACUUCUAUAUGCCGCAGGUGUAACUGCAAAAAGAAAAAUUAAAAAAAGGAAAUAAAUAUCAGAGGCCAAAAAAUAAUAGAAUAUCUUUUAAACCCUAAAAAAAAAAAGUCAACCCAAUUCUGUGUUCAGUGAAAAUAUCCAAAAGUAAAGUUGAAAGACAUGUUUAGGUAAAUAAAAAAACAAAAAAGAAAUCCUUUACCAUACCUCAGGCACCUAGACUAGAUCCAUAUUGUGACUCAUGACCUCCAGGUUCCUGGGGUUGCGGGGGUGGCUACACUGGACAGAAGAGCUCUCUCUACAAAUACCCACCUGGCACUGGCAGUAUCACCAACCAUGUGGAGUCCCCGCACAGACCCAAAGGCAGACCAGGAAUGCUGCUGUAAAUGACAGGGAGGAUCAGGGACAAAAGGCAUCAUAAAUUUAGUAAUUUUCUUAAAUGAGAAAUCAGCCUGUUAUGUCAUUAGCCAGUUUCCACUUACUAAAAAUUCACCAAUUAAUUAAUACUGUACUGAUAAUUUUAUUAGAUAGGAAACAAGAUUAAAACCUGUGCUUUUUUUUAAAUAAAGAAGAUGAAGUACCAU